ACACUUUAUAUAGAGAAAAAAAAAAAAAAAAAAAAAAAAAACUUGUUAAAACCCUUAGAAUGUAGUAUGAUAUCUACUGUUGGUUUGGAUUUUCAUUAUUUGUUUACCCAGUUGUCUCAAUCUGUGAUACAUAUUUAUUGGAGACGAACGCCUGAGCGAAGGGCGCUGUCUUCCUUUAGCUGCUCCUUACAGUUCACUAUAUGUCAACAAAUCCUCCUGGAGAAGCAUUGAGUUGGCCGAUGACUACGGAUGGAUCUAUAUUGACGAUUAGUUUGUCUUCUGCUGCUAUUAAGCGGAUCGUCUGUAUCAACCCUGUUGAAAUGGCUUCACAUUCCGACUAACCAAGGCAGUAACUGCUGCUGCUGCCGCUGCAGUACCCGACAAGUUGAACGGUGAUUUCUCAACAUCGACGUACGUAGGUAGUCAGUCAUCACACUCUGUUAUAGAAGCUCUUCCGCGGCACGUACCACCUCACUGUUUGGUUACUGAAGACGAAUCAGGUAGACCGCAGUACAACGUUCGCUCAGUAUAAUUACGCUGAGUUAAGGAUCCUAGUGCAGCGAAACAUGCAGAGCGUUAUCGAACAGUUGCCUCGAGGAACAGGAGUCCAGGAUAUUAGCGCUGCUGUUGGAAGAUGAAUGGCGACAUAUAUCCUUUCCAGGCCGUUGUAAAGGCAUGUUUCGCGUAGGCUCACUUAGGACAUCUGGUGAUGAUCGAGUGACGCACGUUAAAUCAAUAGUGCACUUAAUAAAUGCAUCUAAACUGACUCUUCGUCGGAACGAACUAACCGUGGCUUGCUGGAUAGAGUCCGCCACAUCUGUUUUCUGUAAUGUUACAGAAAAACGUACCGUUUUCAAAAUCGCGAUGCAAUGCAAGGAUUUCAUCAUAUCCUAUUGUUCAAUGCCACAGGUUGACAAUAUCUCUUCGUAGACUCUUUUGAUGGAAAGAAGAUUGUUCGAGAGUACGAAAAAAAAAUAAUGUUUCGAACCUCGGCGGAAACUGUAGCCUAGGACAACAUUUAUAUAGAAGUGUGAGUGGGUGUGAUGAAGAUAAAUAUAUUAGCCUGACAGAAAGCACCAGAUACGGCAACACAACUUUUAUCCCACUUUUCUAUUUAUAGAGCGAAGCUAAAUAGAAAACAACGUUUGUUUCGGCAAAUUUCCAUUCUACUAGUAACAUUGAUGAAAUACUGAUGAAUUUUUAGCUAAAUCAUUCCCAAGGCUUAGGGAUAUGAUUUAGCUAAAAUUUAGCCUGGCGCACAACCUGGUGAUGAUAUAGGUAGAAUGAAUAUAACACUUUAAAUAAAGAAAAUGUAUUUUAUAGUUGUUA